rnacentral:rRNA from 1 species
UACGGAGGGGGCAAGCGUUGUCCGGAAUCACUGGGCGUAAAGCGCACGUAGGCGGGACGGUGCGUCGGUGCUGAAAGCGCCAGGCUUAACCUGGCGAGGCGUGCCGAUACGACCGACCUCGAGGCAGACAGAGGGUGGCGGAAUUCCGGGUGUAGUGGUGAAAUGCGUAGAGAUCCGGAGGAACGCCGGUGGCGCAAGCGGCCACCUGGGUCUGACCUGACGCUGAGGUGCGAAAGCGUGGGGAGCAAACCGG